CCUACGGGGGGCAGCAGUGGGGAAUAUUGGGCAAUGGGCGCAAGCCUGACCCAGCAACGCCGCGUGAAGGAAGAAGGCUUUCGGGUUGUAAACUUCUUUUCUCAGGGACGCAGCAAGUGACGGUACCUGAGGACUAAGCCACGGCUAACUACGUGCCAGCAGCCGCGGUAAUACGUAGGUGGCAAGCGUUCUCCGGAUUUAUUGGGUGUAAAGGGCGUUUAGGCGGGGACGCAAGUCAGAUGUGAAAACCACGGGCUCAACCUGUGGCCUGCAUUUGAAACUGUGUGUCUUGAGUACUGGAGAGGCAGACGGAAUUCCUAGUGUAGCGGUGAAAUGCGUAGAUAUUAGGAGGAACACCAGUGGCGAAGGCGGUCUGCUGGACAGCAACUGACGCUGAGGCGCGAAAGCGUGGGGAGCAAACAGGAUUAGAUACCCGUGUAGUC
rnacentral:rRNA from 1 species